GGGUGCCCAGGUGAGGAGCAGGGCUGUGUUUCCCAUAAGGAGCCUUCAGGGCCCAGAGGCCAGCUAAUUCCACUCCUCUGCCCCAGGUGAGUAGAUCCUCAGAUAAGGACCAGGACCAAAGGAUGGCCAAAGGAGGGCACUGUGUGGGGAAACCCGGGUCCAGAAGCGGGGCAGGAGUUGCUGGGUGGGUGGGAGCCAGGACCCAUUGGAGGAGCCCUGGCUAGGGAGGAUCAGGGGGAGCAGAGG
rnacentral:lncRNA from 1 species